rnacentral:rRNA from 1 species
UACAGAGGAGCCAAGCGUUGUCCGGAUUGACUGGGCGUAAAGCGCACGCAGGCGGACGCGCGCGUGGGGUGUGAAAUCUGGCCGCUUAACGGCCAGGCGCCAUCCCAUACGGCGCGUCUGGAGUGAUGCAGAGGUCGGUGGAAUCGCCGGUGUAGUGGUGAAAUGCGUAGAGAUCGGCAGGAACACCCAGGGGGAAACCAGCCGACUGGGCAUCUACUGACGCUGAGGUGCGAGAGCGUGGGGAGCGAACCGG